GAGAGUUGAAGAUUUGAUCACAGCGCAAUACGCACGCUCAUACUAACGAUCCGAGGUGGCUACAAUAACUUAUCACAGAGUUUCUUUAUUCGAAAUUAUAGUGAAUGUUCGUGUUCAACAGCUUGUACAGUUUUAUUAUCUAUCUUGGAUAUUAAAAAAAAGAAGACAAAUCGUUUCUUUAUCGACCAGCGUUAUGGAUGUUUCCAAAGGUGUCUUGGUUUUCACUCUAGUCUGCACGUUGCGACCUAUGCUGUCCAUUCAGAUAUGUGACAUCAUGCUGGAGAUGGAGAAGGAGAGAGAGACGUGCAUGGCCCAGUUAGAAAACAUGACAACAGGUUGCAGUGGGACGUGGGACAAGGUGGCCUGCUGGCCCAGCGCCAAUACAGGACAGGUGGUCACCAUCCCCUGCCCUGUCUACUUCUUAUACUUGACCAACGACUUCAUCAU